UGAGGAAUAUUGGUCAAUGGGCGCAAGCCUGAACCAGCCAUCCCGCGUGAAGGAAGAAGGCGCUAUGCGUUGUAAACUUCUUUUCCAGGGGGAGAAUUUUUCCGUCGUGACGGGAAUUGACGGUACUCUGGGAAUAAGCAUCGGCUAACUCCGUGCCAGCAGCCGCGGUAAUACGGAGGAUGCGAGCGUUAUCCGGAUUUAUUGGGUUUAAAGGGUGCGUAGGCGGAUUGAUAAGUCAGUGGUGAAAGGCUGCAGCUUAACUGUAGACUUGCCGUUGAUACUGAUAGCCUUGAGUUUGGUUAAGGUAGGCGGAAUGUGUAAUGUAGCGGUGAAAUGCUUAGAUAUUACACAGAACACCAAUUGCGUAGGCAGCUUACUGAGCCGACACUGACGCUGAGGCACGAAAGCGUGGGGAUCGAACAG
rnacentral:rRNA from 1 species